ensembl:lncRNA
AUGCCGUGGUCUCCUAUCAAAGAGGAGGCUCCCUGCUGGGUGUCAGUGGAGCAGAGUCCGUUCGUCCUCGGCCUGACCAGUGAAAACGGAGAGCUGCUGCUGGACGAAGGCGUUCAGGUCACGGAGGGCUCCAAGAUCAAGGAGAGGCACCUGUUCCUCUUCAGCAACGUCCUCGUCUUCUCCAAAUCCAAGUCGACCACCGGCUACCGCCUGAAGCGCCGAGUGAGCCUCCAGGACGUUUGGCUCUACGGGUUUGAAGAUGAGGCGGUGGGAGAGGAGGGAGCGACGGGCGACAUCGACCUCAGGGUGACGCUCGUCUUGGCCUGGGAUCUCACCGUUUCUCUGGUGUGUUUCUGCUCGCCUGAGGUGAAAGAACGCUGGUUAGAUAUUCUUCACCGGUAAGAAAGAACAU